rnacentral:rRNA from 1 species
UACGUAGGGUGCUAGCGUUGUUCGGAAUCACUGGGCGUAAAGGGAGUGUAGGCGGGAUCGUAAGUUAGGAGUUUAAUGCAUGGGCUUAACCCAUGAUCUGCUUUUAAUACUGCGGUUCUUGAGUAUGGGAGAGGGCGAUGGAAUUCCAGGUGUAGCGGUGGAAUGCGUAGAUAUCUGGAAGAACACCAGUAGCGAAGGCGGUCGCCUGGCCCAAUACUGACGCUGAUGCUCGAAAGCUAGGGGAG